GGCCACUGCUGCCCUCAGGGUGAGCUCCUCACUGGGCAUCUCCUCCAGGACCCUGCUGGCACCUGGACAGGGGUACGGCCCUCCUCAGCGGGACUUGAGAAAGGUGGGAAGCCCAGGCUCAGUUCCGGCUCUGUAAGACCAAGGCCUGCAGCGGGCACAGUGCCCGCCCUCGUCAGCCCGGAGUAUCGUUUUUCUGUCUCCUCUGGACUUUGUUUCCCAUGUCCGGGUGGGGACGGAGAGGAGGGGCGCACCUGCUCCUGGGUGG
rnacentral:lncRNA from 1 species